rnacentral:rRNA from 1 species
UAGGGAAUCUUCGGCAAUGGGGGCAACCCUGACCGAGCAACGCCGCGUGAGUGAAGAAGGUUUUCGGAUCGUAAAGCUCUGUUGUAAGAGAAGAACGUGUGUGAGAGUGGAAAGUUCACACAGUGACGGUAACUUACCAGAAAGGGACGGCUAACUACGUGCCAGCAGCCGCGGUAAUACGUAGGUCCCGAGCGAUGUCCGGAUUUAUUGGGCGUAAAGCGAGCGCAGGCGGUUUAAUAAGUCUGAAGUUAAAGGCAGUGGCUUAACCAUUGUUCGCUUUGGAAACUGUUAAACUUGAGUGCAGAAGGGGAGAGUGGAAUUCCAUGUGUAGCGGUGAAAUGCGUAGAUAUAUGGAGGAACACCGGUGGCGAAAGCGGCUCUCUGGUCUGUAACUGACGCUGAGGCUCGAAAGCGUGGGGAGCAAACAGG